rnacentral:rRNA from 1 species
CAUGCAAGUCGAGCGAAUCUGAGGGAGCUUGCUCCCAAAGAUUAGCGGCGGACGGGUGAGUAACACGUGGGCAACCUGCCUGUAAGACUGGGAUAACUUCGGGAAACCGGAGCUAAUACCGGAUAAUCCCUUUCCUCACAUGAGGAAAGGCUGAAAGACGGUUUCGGCUGUCACUUACAGAUGGGCCCGCGGCGCAUUAGCUAGUUGGUGAGGUAACGGCUCACCAAGGCCACGAUGCGUAGCCGACCUGAGAGGGUGAUCGGCCACACUGGGACUGAGACACGGCCCAGACUCCUACGGGAGGCAGCAGUAGGGAAUCUUCCGCAAUGGACGAAAGUCUGACGGAGCAACGCCGCGUGAGUGAUGAAGGUUUUCGGAUCGUAAAACUCUGUUGUUAGGGAAGAACAAGUAUCGGAGUAACUGCCGGUACCUUGACGGUACCUAACCAGAAAGCCACGGCUAACUACGUGCCAGCAGCCGCGGUAAUACGUAGGUGGCAAGCGUUGUCCGGAAUUAUUGGGCGUAAAGCGCGCGCAGGUGGUUCCUUAAGUCUGAUGUGAAAGCCCACGGCUCAACCGUGGAGGGUCAUUGGAAACUGGGGAACUUGAGUGCAGAAGAGGAAAGUGGAAUUCCAAGUGUAGCGGUGAAAUGCGUAGAGAUUUGGAGGAACNCCAGUGGCGAAGGCGACUUUCUGGUCUGUAACUGACACUGAGGCGCGAAAGNCGUGGGGAGCGAACAGGAUUAGAUACCCUGGUAGUCCACGCCGUAAACGAUGAGUGCUAAGUGUUAGAGGGUUUCCGCCCUUUAGUGCUGCAGCAAACGCAUUAAGCACUCCGCCUGGGGAGUACGACCGCAAGGUUGAAACUCAAAGGAAUUGACGGGGGCCCGCACAAGCGGUGGAGCAUGUGGUUUAAUUCGAAGCAACGCGAAGAACCUUACCAGGUCUUGACAUCCUCUGACAAUCCUAGAGAUAGGACGUUCCCCUUCGGGGGACAGAGUGACAGGUGGUGCAUGGUUGUCGUCAGCUCGUGUCGUGAGAUGUUGGGUUAAGUCCCGCAACGAGCGCAACCCUUGAUCUUAGUUGCCAGCAUUCAGUUGGGCACUCUAAGGUGACUGCCGGUGACAAACCGGAGGAAGGUGGGGAUGACGUCAAAUCAUCAUGCCCCUUAUGACCUGGGCUACACACGUGCUACAAUGGAUGGUACAAAGGGCUGCAAGACCGCGAGGUUUAGCCAAUCCCAUAAAACCAUUCUCAGUUCGGAUUGCAGGCUGCAACUCGCCUGCAUGAAGCCGGAAUCGCUAGUAAUCGCGGAUCAGCAUGCCGCGGUGAAUACGUUCCCGGGCCUUGUACACACCGCCCGUCACACCACGAGAGUUUGUAACACCCGAAGUCGGUGGGGUAACCUUUGGAGCCAGCCGCCUAAGGUGG